GACUGGAGGAACGCGGGACCGUCGUCCUCGCGUUCGUGCACCUCCAGGAAGAAGACUGCUCGAGGUGAGACGCCUCGGAUCCGUCGUGCGAAGGUGGAGCAGCUCCAGAGGGACGAACGUCAAGGUAGCCACUGCUCCGUAGCUGGUCUGGGAUAUGAGUACGACCCUUGAUUCGUGCCG